GGUCAAGCGAACAAGUGCAUGUGGUGGAUGCCUUGGCGAUCACAGGCGAUGAAGGACGCGGUAGCCUGCGAAAAGCUACGGGGAGCUGGCAAACGAGCUUUGAUCCGUAGAUGUCCGAAUGGGGAAACCCACUCCUUUUGGAGUAUCCAUGGCUGAAUACAUAGGCCAUGUGAAGCGAACGCGGUGAACUGAAACAUCUAAGUAACCGCAGGAAAAGAAAUCAACCGAGAUUCCCAAAGUAGUGGCGAGCGAAAUGGGAUGAGCCUUGCACUCUUUAUUUGUAUUGUUAGCCGAACGCUCUGGAAAGUGCGGCCAUAGCAGGUGAUAGCCCUGUAGGCGAAAACAGUAUGAAAGAACUAGGUGUGCGACAAGUAGGGCGGGACACGUGAAAUCCUGUCUGAAGAUGGGGGGACCAUCCUCCAAGGCUAAAUACUCGUGAUCGACCGAUAGUGAACCAGUACCGUGAGGGAAAGGCGAAAAGAACCCCGGGAGGGGAGUGAAAUAGAUCCUGAAACCGCAUGCAUACAAACAGUCGGAGCCUCGCAAGGGGUGACGGCGUACCUUUUGUAUAAUGGGUCAGCGACUUACGUUCAGUAGCAAGCUUAACCGUAUAGGGCAGGCGUAGCGAAAGCGAGUCCGAAUAGGGCGUUCAGUUGCUGGGCGUAGACCCGAAACCAGGUGAUCUAUCCAUGGCCAGGAUGAAGGUGCGGUAACACGUACUGGAGGUCCGAACCCACUAACGUUGAAAAGUUAGGGGAUGAGCUGUGGAUAGGGGUGAAAGGCUAAACAAACCUGGAAAUAGCUGGUUCUCUCCGAAAACUAUUUAGGUAGUGCCUCGUGUCUCACCUUCGGGGGUAGAGCACUGUCAUGGUUGGGGGGUCUAUUGCAGAUUACCCCGCCAUAGCAAACUCCGAAUACCGAAGAGUGCAAUCACGGGAGACAGACAUCGGGUGCUAACGUCCGGUGUCAAGAGGGAAACAACCCAGACCGCCAGCUAAGGUCCCCAAAUAUAGCUAAGUGGGAAACGAAGUGGGAAGGCUAAAACAGUCAGGAGGUUGGCUUAGAAGCAGCCACCCUUUAAAGAAAGCGUAAUAGCUCACUGAUCGAGUCGUCCUGCGCGGAAGAUGUAACGGGGCUAAGCUAUAUACCGAAGCUGCGGAUGCGUGCUUAGCACGCAUGGUAGGAGAGCGUUCCGUAAGCCUGCGAAGGUGCCUUGUAAAGGGUGCUGGAGGUAUCGGAAGUGCGAAUGCUGACAUGAGUAGCGAUAAAGGGGGUGAAAGGCCCCCUCGCCGUAAGCCCAAGGUUUCCUACGCAACGUUCAUCGGCGUAGGGUGAGUCGGCCCCUAAGGCGAGGCAGAAAUGCGUAGCUGAUGGGAAGCAGGUCAAUAUUCCUGCACCAUUGUUAGAUGCGAUGGGGGGACGGAUCGCGGAAGGUUGUCCGGGUGUUGGAAGUCCCGGUCGCUGCAUUGGAGAAGGCGCUUAGGCAAAUCCGGGCGCAGGAUUCAAGGGUGUGGCGCGAGCUCCUUAGGGAGCGAAGCAAUUGGAAGUGGUUCCAAGAAAAGCCUCUAAGCUUCAGUCUAACGAUGACCGUACCGCAAACCGACACAGGUGGGCGAGAUGAGUAUUCUAAGGCGCUUGAGAGAACUCGGGAGAAGGAACUCGGCAAAUUGGUACCGUAACUUCGGGAUAAGGUACGCCCUUGUAGCUUGACUGGCCUGCGCCAGGAGGGUGAAGGGGUUGCAAUAAACUGGUGGCUGCGACUGUUUAAUAAAAACACAGCACUCUGCAAACACGAAAGUGGACGUAUAGGGUGUGACGCCUGCCCGGUGCCGGAAGAUUAAAUGAUGGGGUGCAAGCUCUUGAUUGAAGUCCCGGUAAACGGCGGCCGUAACUAUAACGGUCCUAAGGUAGCGAAAUUCCUUGUCGGGUAAGUUCCGACCUGCACGAAUGGCGUAACGAUGGCCACACUGUCUCCUCCCGAGACUCAGCGAAGUUGAAGUGUUUGUGAUGAUGCAAUCUACCCGCGGCUAGACGGAAAGACCCCAUGAACCUUUACUGUAGCUUUGCAUUGGACUUUGAACCGAUCUGUGUAGGAUAGGUGGGAGGCUAUGAAACCGGAACGCUAGUUUCGGUGGAGCCGUCCUUGAAAUACCACCCUGGUUUGUUUGAGGUUCUAACCUUGGCCCGUGAUCCGGGUCGGGGACAGUGCAUGGUAGGCAGUUUGACUGGGGCGGUCUCCUCCCAAAGCGUAACGGAGGAGUACGAAGGUACGCUAGGUACGGUCGGAAAUCGUGCUGAUAGUGCAAUGGCAUAAGCGUGCUUAACUGCGAGACCGACAAGUCGAGCAGGUGCGAAAGCAGGUCAUAGUGAUCCGGUGGUUCUGUAUGGAAGGGCCAUCGCUCAACGGAUAAAAGGUACUCUGGGGAUAACAGGCUGAUACCGCCCAAGAGUUCAUAUCGACGGCGGUGUUUGGCACCUCGAUGUCGGCUCAUCUCAUCCUGGGGCUGUAGCCGGUCCCAAGGGUAUGGCUGUUCGCCAUUUAAAGAGGUACGUGAGCUGGGUUUAAAACGUCGUGAGACAGUUUGGUCCCUAUCUGCCGUGGGCGUUGGAUAUUUGAAGGGGGCUGCUCCUAGUACGAGAGGACCGGAGUGGACGAACCUCUGGUGUACCGGUUGUCACGCCAGUGGCAUCGCCGGGUAGCUAUGUUCGGAAGAGAUAACCGCUGAAAGCAUCUAAGCGGGAAACUCGCCUUAAGAUGAGAUAUCCCUGGGGACUAGAUCCCCUUGAAGGGUCGUUCGAGACCAGGACGUUGAUAGGUCAGGUGUGUAAGCGCAGUAAUGCGUUCAGCUAACUGAUACUAAUUGCCCGUAAGGCUUGAUCCU
rnacentral:rRNA from 1 species